rnacentral:rRNA from 1 species
CUGGCGGCAUGCCUACACAUGCAAGUCUAGGGGUAGCAAUACCACUGGCGCACGGGUGAGUAACACGUAGGUUAUCUGCCCCUAUCACAGACAUAACCUCGGGAAACCGAGGCUAAUAUCUGAUGAGGUCGUGAGAUCAAAGCUUCGGCGGAUAGGGAUGAGCCUGCGGCUGAUUAGCUAGUUGGUGAGGUAAUGGCUCACCAAGGCGACGAUCAGUAGCUGGUCUGAGAGGACGAACAGCCACACUGGAACUGAGACACGGGUCCAGACUCNUACGGGAGGCAGCAGUGAGGAAUAUUGGUCAAUGGGAGCAAUCCUGAACCAGCAAUGCCGCGUGUGGGAUGACAGGGCUUCGCCUUGUAAACCACUGUCGGAUGGGACGAAAGGAACCCUCGGGGUUCUGGGACGGUACCAUCAAAGGAAGGGUCGGCUAACUACGUGCCAGCAGCCGCGGUAAUACGUAGGACCCGAGCGUUGUCCGGAUUUACUGGGUAUAAAGGGUGCGUAGGCGGCCUUGUGCGUCAGAGGUGAAAUCUCCGGGCUUAACCCGGAGGGUGCCUUUUGAUACGGCAGGGCUUGAGUGCNAGAGAGGAUGAUGGAAUUCCUGGUGUAGCGGUGAAUGCGUAGAUAUCAGGAGGACACCGGUGGCG